UACGUAGGGUGCGAGCGUUGUCCGGAAUUACUGGGCGUAAAGAGCUCGUAGGCGGCUUGUCGCGUCGUCCGUGAAAACCUGCGGCUCAACUGCAGGCUGGCGGUCGAUACGGGCAGGCUGGAGUUCGGUAGGGGAGACUGGAAUUCCUGGUGUAGCGGUGAAAUGCGCAGAUAUCAGGAGGAACACCGGUGGCGAAGGCGGGCU
rnacentral:rRNA from 1 species